rnacentral:tRNA from 1 species
GCCCGGUUAGCUCAGUCGGUAGAGCAUCAGACUUUUACUCUGAGGGUCGGAGGUUCGUGCCCCCCCCAUCGGGCG